UGGCUCAGGAUGAACGCCGGCGGUGUGCCUAAUACAUGCAAGUCGAACGCGUUGGCCCAAUUGAUUGAUGGUGCUUGCACCUGAUUGAUUUUGGUYGCCAACGAGUGGCGGACGGGUGAGUAACACGUAGGUAACCUGCCCAGAAGCGGGGGACAACAUUUGGAAACAGAUGCUAAUACCGCAUAACARCGUUGUUCGCAUGAACAACGCUUAAAAGAUGGCUUCUCGCUAUCACUUCUGGAUGGACCUGCGGUGCAUUAGCUUGUUGGUGGGGUAACGGCCUACCAAGGCGAUGAUGCAUAGCCGAGUUGAGAGACUGAUCGGCCACAAUGGGACUGAGACACGGCCCAUACUCCUACGGGAGGCAGCAGUAGGGAAUCUUCCACAAUGGGCGCAAGCCUGAUGGAGCAACACCGCGUGAGUGAAGAAGGGUUUCGGCUCGUAAAGCUCUGUUGUUAAAGAAGAACACGUAUGAGAGUAACUGUUCAUACGUUGACGGUAUUUAACCAGAAAGUCACGGCUAACUACGUGCCAGCAGCCGCGGUAAUACGUAGGUGGCAAGCGUUAUCCGGAUUUAUUGGGCGUAAAGAGAGUGCAGGCGGUUUUCUAAGUCUGAUGUGAAAGCCUUCGGCUUAACCGGAGAAGUGCAUCGGAAACUGGAUAACUUGAGUGCAGAAGAGGGUAGUGGAACUCCAUGUGUAGCGGUGGAAUGCGUAGAUAUAUGGAAGAACACCAGUGGCGAAGGCGGCUACCUGGUCUGCAACUGACGCUGAGACUCGAAAGCAUGGGUAGCGAACAGGAUUAGAUACCCUGGUAGUCCAUGCCGUAAACGAUGAGUGCUAGGUGUUGGAGGGUUUCCGCCCUUCAGUGCCGGAGCUAACGCAUUAAGCACUCCGCCUGGGGAGUACGACCGCAAGGUUGAAACUCAAAGGAAUUGACGGGGGCCCGCACAAGCGGUGGAGCAUGUGGUUUAAUUCGAAGCUACGCGAAGAACCUUACCAGGUCUUGACAUCUUGCGCCAACCCUAGAGAUAGGGCGUUUCCUUCGGGAACGCAAUGACAGGUGGUGCAUGGUCGUCGUCAGCUCGUGUCGUGAGAUGUUGGGUUAAGUCCCGCAACGAGCGCAACCCUUGUUACUAGUUGCCAGCAUUAAGUUGGGCACUCUAGUGAGACUGCCGGUGACAAACCGGAGGAAGGUGGGGACGACGUCAGAUCAUCAUGCCCCUUAUGACCUGGGCUACACACGUGCUACAAUGGACGGUACAACGAGUCGCGAACUCGCGAGGGCAAGCAAAUCUCUUAAAACCGUUCUCAGUUCGGACUGCAGGCUGCAACUCGCCUGCACGAAGUCGGAAUCGCUAGUAAUCGCGGAUCAGCAUGCCGCGGUGAAUACGUUCCCGGGCCUUGUACACACCGCCCGUCACACCAUGAGAGUUUGUAACACCCAAAGUCGGUGGGGUAACCUUUUAGGAGCCAGCCGCCUAAGGUGGGACAGAUGAUUAGGGUGAAGUCGUA
rnacentral:rRNA from 2 species